GACGGGGGGGGCAAGUGUUCUUCGGAAUGACUGGGCGUAAAGGGCACGUAGGCGGUGAAUCGGGUUGAAAGUGAAAGUCGCCAAAAAAGUGGCGGAAUGCUCUCGAAACCAAUUCACUUGAGUGAGACAGAGGAGAGUGGAAUUUCGUGUGUAGGGGUGAAAUCCGUAAAUAUACGAAGGAACGCCAAAAGCGAAGGCAGCUCUCUGGGUCCCUACCGACGCUGGGGUGCGAAGGCAUGGGGAGCGAACAGG
rnacentral:rRNA from 1 species